rnacentral:rRNA from 1 species
UACGAAGGGGGCUAGCGUUACUCGGAAUGACUGGGCGUAAAGGGCGCGUAGGCGGUUCGUACAGUUGGAUGAGAAAUUCCUGGGCUCAACCCGGGGGCUGCAUUCAAUACGUGCGGGCUUGAGUUCGGAAGAGGGUCGUGGAAUUCCCAGUGUAGAGGUGAAAUUCGUAGAUAUUGGGAAGAACACCGGUGGCGAAGGCGGCGACCUGGUCCGAUACUGACGCUGAGGCGCGAAAGCGUGGGGAGCAAACAGG